GACGAACGCUGGCGGCGUGCUUAACACAUGCAAGUCGAACGGAAAGGCCCUGCUUUUGUGGGGUGCUCGAGUGGCGAACGGGUGAGUAACACGUGAGUAACCUGCCCUUGACUUUGGGAUAACUUCAGGAAACUGGGGCUAAUACCGGAUAGGAGCUCCUGCUGCAUGGUGGGGGUUGGAAAGUUUCGGCGGUUGGGGUUGGACUCGCGGCUUAUCAGCUUGUUGGUGGGGUAGUGGCUUACCAAGGCUUUGACGGGUAGCCGGCCUGAGAGGGUGACCGGCCACAUUGGGACUGAGAUACGGCCCAGACUCCUACGGGAGGCAGCAGCGGGGAAUAUUGCACAAUGGGCGGAAGCCUGAUGCAGCAACGCCGCGUGCGGGAUGACGGCCUUCGGGUUGUAAACCGCUUUCGCCUGUGACGAAGCGUGAGUGACGGUAAUGGGUAAAGAAGCACCGGCUAACUACGUG
rnacentral:rRNA from 1 species